ensembl:lncRNA
CAAGGAUUCAAAGAUUAGUAUUUUUAGUAUUUCUUUAGUUACGCAAAUAAAGUCAGGGUUUAAGAUAAGAUAAGAUAAGAUAAGAUAACCCUUAUUAGUCUCACACGUGGGAAAUUUGUUUAAAAUAUUUGUUUAAAAUUUAAAAUGCUGAUAUACUGUAUGAAUAGAACUUUAUUGUGCUACUGUUUUAUCUUUUUUUUGUAUUUUUUUUUUUGGGGGGGGGAGUCCUGAACACGUCAAAACACCAGUGUAAUGAUAAUCCACUAUAGCCUGUUCUAUGGAACAGCACUGGUUCAGCUAAUAUUUCUGUCUUUAGUUUCUAUAUUCUGUACAAAGACACCUGAAAGUAGAUUAGGACUGUAAUGCAAAGCCCAUCUUUAGCUAUGUACAUGUUCAUGUCUUUCCCACAGUUCAGAAGAGCAAAUAAAGUCAGGGUUUAAGUUAAGAUAAGAUAAGAUAAGAUAACCUUUAUUAGUCCCACACGUGGGAAAUUUGUUUAAAAUAUUUGUUUAAAAUUUAAAAUGCUGAUAUACUGUGUGAAUACAACUUUAUUGUGCUACUGUUUUAUCUUAUUUUUAUUUUUAUUGGGGACUCCUGAACACUCACCAGUGUAAUGAUAAUGCACUACAGGUGGUUUUAAGGAACGUCAGUGGUUCAGCUAAUAUUUCUGUCUUUAGUUUCUAUAUUCUGUACAAAAACAGAUUUACACUACAGUGCAAAGCCCACACUUGAAAAGCAUUCAUAAACUAUAUAGAUGCAAACAUUUUAAAAAGAUCAUAGAUGGAAAUGGAAAAGAUUUUAUAAAUAGAAAACCAAAUGAUACAUAAGUGAUCAUAAUAUCUGUGCUUUUUUAGUUCUAUGUUUCCCCCCAAAGGCCAAUAUAUCAAAACAAAGCAGAAUGAUUUAAAUGUUCUCAUUAACUUAUUCUUUUAUCCAGUGCUUUAAAGUCUCACUAAAAUGCCUACUGUAUACAGUGUAUUAAGUAGCUUAUUAACGGUUAUAGCAAAAUGAGCUCUGGUGCUACAUAGUAAGAUUGAAACAUUUUUUUUUUCGCCUUAUGGGUGGUGUAAACUUUAUCAUUUAAAUGAAGAUGAACUAUCAGAAACUGCACUGUGUUCCAGUGUAAUUUAUAGAAGGCAGCAGGUGAAAAAGUCUGUGUCCAAGGUGUGAGGGAUCUGUAAUGAUUUUCCCUGCCCAUUACAAGUCCUGGAUGGAGGGCAGGGGGCGCCGAUAAUCUUUUCUGCUACCCGUACAGUCCGCUGCAGUCUGCACCUGUCCUGUUUAGUGGCUGCUCCAUACCAAACUGUGAUGGAGUAACACAGGACAGACUCAAUGACUGCAGUGUAGAACUGGAUCAGCAGCUCUUGUGAAAGACUGUACUUCCCCAGUUGUCUCAGGAAGUACGACGUCUGCUGUGUCUUUUUGAGGAUGGAGGAGAUGUUAGUCUCUCACUUCAGGUCCUGGGAGAUGGUGGUACCCAGGAACUUGAAGAUCUCCACAGUAGACACCGGGCUGUCUGAUAAUGUUGUGCUGACUGGACCAGAGUACUCAGCUCAACUUCCUGUCGAUAUGCAGACUCAUCACCAUCCUGAAUGAGGCCAAUGACGGUGGUGUCAUCUGCAAAAAUCAGGAGUUGCAGCUGAACAGCCGAGUUCUUGGAGGUGCAGUCAUUGGUGUAGAGGGAGAACAAUAGUGGUGAGAGGAUACAGCCUUGAGGGGCACCAAUACUGAGGGACCGUGUUCUGGAGGACAUCUACAAGAAGCAGUGCCUGAGAAGCAGCAGACUGAGG